GUGAAGAACGUAGUGAAAUGCGAUACGUAAUGUGAAUUGCAAAUUCAGUGAAUCAUCGAGUCUUUGAACGCACAUUGCGCCCCCUGGUAUUCCGGGGGGCAUGCCUGUCCGAGCGUCAUUGCUGCCCUCAAGCACGGCUUGUGUGUUGGGCCCCGUCCUCCGAUCCCGGGGGACGGGCCCGAAAGGCAGCGGCGGCACCGCGUCCGGUCCUCGAGCGUAUGGGGCUUUGUCACCCGCUCUGUAGGCCCGGCCGGCGCUUGCCGAUCAACCCAAAUUUUUUAUCCAGGUUGACCUCGGAUCAGGUAGGGAUACCCGCUGAACUUAAGCAUAUCAAUAAGCGGAGGA
rnacentral:misc_RNA from 1 species